UGAUAUGCGGUUUGUCACAGAUCUUACGUCAAUACAGUAAUGAGUUACGCUAGUGUGAUGAGGGCCUGGCGUGAGGACCUGUUAUGAAGGCCAGAUGUGAGUGCCUGGUUUAAGUCACGGGUUUGUAUCUACCCAACAAUAAUUUAGGGUCAUCAGUCGCUACUGGCACGCAGCAGGAAGGUGACCCACAGCCCGCAGUUAGUGUGUCCAGAACUGUUCGAAGAAGUGGGCGGCAGAUGCCUCCAUUUUGAUAAUGUAAACACUGGCACGUGAUAUACGAAGCGUCAGAUCUGUGAGGGUAUUUGAGGAGACCUCAUCAAGCUGGACAGCGGUGACCUGUAUGCUGCUAUCAUGCGUCACAUGCACGGCAACGGUAGGUGGGCACAACUGUGGUAAAUACUCUCCUUUUUAGAGAGAACAGAGUUAAAAUACGGGCAGAGAGAGGAAGGGGAAGAAGAGAACA